AAUUAUCAAAGUAAAUUUCGUUGGAAUAUGAAAUUAUUGACUACUUGCUACGCCACUGGUGUAACCUAUGACAGAAAUGUCAAAAAGUGUUUUUUGUAAGUAAGUAAGAAGAACCGUGCUGUGAGGUUGUUAAAAGUUGUAAAUUUGUUCAAAAUCAGUUGUGAUCAUUCAUCGAUAUUGCACUUUUAGACAAGACACAAUCAAUGCAACAACGCAGAUUUAAAGCCUCUACAUACCAAUCAUAGAUUUUUUUGGUUAAAACGACAUCUAACGACAUUUAUACACAACUAAGUGUCAAACAACAGACAUAACCUUAUAAUAUCAUGUAAAAGUAGUAAAAAAUAAGAAGUAACGUCCUGUGAGGUUGCCGUAAAUUGUAAAUUUGUUCAAAAUCUGUUCUGCUAACAUAUUAACAUUUUCAUGUUUUUUAGUCAUCAUUCAUCGAUAUUGCAAUUUUAGACAAGACACAAUCAAUGAAACAACACAGAUUUAAACCUUCUACAUAGGUACAAAUCAUAGAUUUUGUUUUUAAUUAUCAAAGUAAAUUUCGUUGGAAUAUGAAA